rnacentral:lncRNA from 1 species
UCGGUGACGGAGUUUGGUAAGAGACCGCUAGGGAGACCGAAUUUUGGGAGGAGGUCGUAUACGGUUUCUUUUGCUGUUACGACGGAGAAGAGGGUUAAGGUUGUUGUUGUUAAGAUUAGAAGGAUUAAGGUGUUAGAUUGUUUUGCCAUGGUGUUUUUGGAGAAUUGAGAUGAGAGUGAUGAUGAGUUGUGUUGGUUUGGUUUUUGUCAAGGAAGGAAAAAUGGUGUGA